rnacentral:miRNA from 1 species
UGGAGGCCUGUCAGGUUCCCA